rnacentral:tRNA from 1 species
GCGCCUGUGGCUCAAUUGGAUAGAGCGGCUGGCUACGAACCAGUAGACUGGGGGUUCGAGUCCCUCCAGGCGUA